rnacentral:rRNA from 1 species
CCUACGGGAGGCAGCAGUAAGGAAUAUUGGUCAAUGGAGGCAACUCUGAACCAGCCAUGCCGCGUGCAGGAUGAAGGCCCUAUGAGUCGUAAACUGCUUUUACACAAGAGAAAACCCGAGUACGUGUACUCGGUUGAUAGUAUUGUGAGAAUAAGCAUCGGCUAACUUCGUGCCAGCAGCCGCGGUAAGACGAAGGAUGCAAGCGUUAUCCGGAUUCAUUGGGUUUAAAGGGUGCGUAGGCGGACCUGUAAGUCAGUGGUGAAAUCUCUUUGCUUAACAAAGAAACUGCCAUUGAUACUGCAAGUCUAGAGUAUAGAUGACGUUGGCGGAAUAUGACAUGUAGUGGUGAAAUACUUAGAUAUGUCAUAGAACACCGAUUGCGAAGGCAGCUAACGAAACUAUAACUGACGCUGAGGCACGAAAGUGCGGGGAUCGAAACAGGAUUAGAUACCCUGGUAGUCCGCACCGUAAACGAUGAUUACUCGUUGUUGGCAAUAUGACCGUCAGCGACCAAGCGAAAGCGAUAAGAAUCCACCUGGGGAGUACGCCGGCAACGGUGAAACUCAAAGGAAUUGACGGCGAGAGACGNGCGACGGACGACGACGAGGGGAGGAGG